UGGGAUUGUAGUUCAAUUGGUUAGAGCACCGCCCUGUCAAGGCGGAAGCUGCGGGUUCGAGACCCGUCAAUCCCGAC
rnacentral:tRNA from 1 species